AAAAACAUAAAGCAAAGGCAGGCUGAGGUGGCUGUACAAACACUGCCAUAAAACUUGCUUCAAAGCUCCAGAAAGAAAAUUUAGAGGUGCAAGAGCAAGUAGUCAUGAAGUGCCGGGCUGUUCCAGUGGAAACUCUUGCAGGGACUUGCAGCAGCCGCUGCUUUAGGGCUGAGCUAAAUAAAGUGCGUGUGGCUGCAUGCUGUUCUGCAAAUCGUGAGGUUAAUUAUGCCUAUGUAAAUCUAAUUCAAACUUUUAUUUACUUUUUAAACUCAGCUUCUUCAGCCAAAUCACCAAACCGCAAACCUCUCCACGAUGAGGAGCCAUGCACUGUCGCAGAACGGUCGCACCUCGGGGGCCCGUCAGCAGGCUCCUGCCUCGCUCGCCUGCAGCAACACCUGAUUUAUGGCUCUGCGUGUCUGUGCGCUGCGUUGUGCUGCUGAUAGCAGAAAACUGGGGAGAACCAGGGUUUAUCUGCCUGGAGAGCAAGUGCCUUCUGACCAAAUCACGAUGGAGACUGUUCAAAUAACCACUUGCUUAAGCAGCUUCCAGAUGUCAGCUCAAAGCACCUUGCAGGCAGGGAGUCCACUGAGGAAUGCACAGCCAAUUGGUCAGACAUUUGUGUGUUACGUAUUCAUUUUAGUGUAUAAUGAGCAACGCUCAGCUGAAGGACACUUUAUCCAGCAGUCUUGAGAUAUGUGUUAAAGCAAGACUCAACUAAUUGUGCGGGCUUCAAAAUGUCUAUAGCUGCAAGGUCAGCAGUGUCUGUAGUUUGUGUUGAGGUGUUUCACAGGUCAGUCUCAUCUUUGUUAAAUGAGCAGAAUGACCCCUGAAAUGGAAAGGAUUUAGGUGUCUGUAGGUGAGCAGCUGCAGACAGGACUCGUGCCUUUAAGCGGCGGUGACAACAGCAGUGCCGAGGGCUCCAGCCGCUCGCCGCCCGGGCGAGGAGCCGCCACAUGCAGCUGUGUUAUGGUGGAGCCAGAUGUUUCAUUACAGUUAGCAAACCCCUCCGCAGCCCCACAGAGGUGCUGGAGCAUGGAGACUGUCAAAGACAGACGUUUUCUCUGCACAUGGGCUCGAAAAGCCAAAUGAGACAUGGGCCAGCUUAAAGACCAGUGAAUAAAGGUCUCUUUUAUAAAAGAAACCUAUUAAUACUUUGCCAAGACCUUCCCUUGAGACUGCCUAAAUAAAUUUCCUUAGAUUGACAAGGCUUGAAAAACAGCCCUUUUAGUGGAAUGGGACUCCAAAGCUGUUGAACUGGAAGACACCAGCCUUCUGGUUUUGCAACUCUGAAUUUACUCAGAAAAGAAAGGUCAUUUUUCAAAUCCAAGGAAAACUUGUUGCAGCAAUUUUUCUUUUCUGAUGCUGCUACAGGGACGGAACAAUCACAGUCUCUGGGAAUCUCCAGAUUAGUGACUACAAGUUGCCUUUGACUAACUGCUCCUGAUAAACUGCCUGUCCCUAGCGCUGAGGGGCUUGGGAUGGACCUUCCUGCGGGCGGAGGAGAAUUGGGACAAGCUGCUCCAGCGGUUCUGCUGCGCGGGGGAGAGACCGGGACGCAGGGGAACAGACAGUGAAAAGAAGUGGGGAUUCAAGGGGAUUCCUCUGCAAACAUCAUCAGCCGGUUCAUGAACAGUCCGCUGCGCUGCAGAACCACCGAGUCCGCUGUGCUCAUCCCUCCCCGGAUCCAGCCCGGCAGCUCUGCUGUGAACAAAAGGUGUUUUACCCACGUGAUGAGAAGCUGAAGGAAAGACAAGAAGUGGCAGCACUGUCCUGUCUGGUGCCAGCGUCCCUCACGUAGCAACCACGCUGCUCACCGGAGCCAAGCAAGAACCUGCAGGUGAUGGAGAAAGGGAGACGUGCCAGCACGGGGCAGGUGGGAGAGCCUGGAACUGCUGGACGGCAAAGGUCUGGUGAGAAAAAUCACCCUUCCCGGGGUCUGCCAGACCCAGGGGGCUCCAGGCUUUGCCCCACGGUUUGUUUGCUGUGACGGCGAAGGCAGCAGCGUGCGCACCCGCGAGCGCCCACGGGGCCGGCAGCAGCUCCUCGCCUCCCAUUUGCGAAUGGCUGAGUUUAAUCCUGACGAGAUGACAGCCAAAAGGAACGUGACACGAACGGGACGUGACACCCUCCAGCUGCUCAGCAAGCGGGUCUGUCCUGUUCACCCCGUCUCUGGCAGGAGGGAAGGUCACAGUGUUCAUCCCACAGGAACACUGUCCAUCUGUCCGUGUCUGACUGUCCCUGUGUCUGUGCGUCCCCUGCCCUGGCAGGGCCAGUGGUGCUUCGGGACUGUGAGAAAAUCCUCCUUUUCCACCCCAAAGCCAGGCCCGGGCUCGUCUCCUCGGGCAAACACGGGAGUUCAGCCCGACUUCACGCAGCUGUUGUCGAGGCCAAUACACCGUGACCAUGCCGCCGCUUUCAGCUUUCUGCACCGUGAACUAAUGCGGGAAAUGAAAGACCAAAUUGCAAAGCUGACAGUUGGUGGCCUUCCUCGUCCUCAGUGCCAGCGGGCACUGCCUGAGGACCAGCACUGCCAUGAACAUUCAGAGCUCAGCCCCCAGCAACCUGCAGCCCCUGCUUUAUUUCACAAAAAAAAAUAAAUGCUAUUUGCAGAGUUGCUUUCCUAAUAUUUUGGCCGAUCAGCUUAAUUGUUUUUCUCCGUGGCCCUUAAUCGUGUCUGUUCAUGCAGCUAUUACUCAGGCAUCACUUCCGCAGAUAUUAAUGUGUACUUUGUUUAAAUACCGAAUGCCAAUGUCAAGGCCUGGGCCCUGUGCUGCGGGAGGAACUCCGGGCAGGUUGGCGCGGGCUGGGGUGCUGCCAGGGCAUUCAUCUCAACUGGGAACCGCUGGCUGGAUUUUAACACUGUCCAAAUACUAACGCUGCCCGCAGGAUGUGGCGGCGGUACCUGGGGCUACCGGCACAGGAAUGCCGCGUGCCCCGGUGGAUGCCGGAUCUCAGACCCCUCUGACAGCCGCCCUGGCUCCAACCCCGCUGCCCACGCUGCCCACGUGCUGGGACGUGCUCGUCGAGGCACACUCGCCAAAAUAGAGCCCUGCCACUCUUUUAGUACAAACAAACCGGAAAAAUUUACAAAUAUCUUACGCUUUACGAUUUUUUUCCCCAAAAAAGGUCAAAAGUUUAGAUGAAUCGAAUCCUAGUGUUUACAACCAGCCUGUUCUGCUUUGGUUAGAAUGUACAAGAGUUUACUUGACUGUCGGGCGCAAUAUUUAAACUGUAGAAGUUGAAGGGCUGGUACAUGCUCUGCACUGACUGUGGGCAAUGCCCAAGGCGGAGAUGGAGAUGGCGGGGAGCGCUCUCCAGGACAGAGCACAGAGCUUGCAGGAAGAAUAUCUGUCUACAGCACCAGCAAAUUUGCUCCCGGAUCUUUCACCAAAAAAGAAAAAGGAAAAAAAGUUGUUUUGUUUUGUUUUUUUUUAAUUCAGGACAAAUUUUGAACUAUCAGUAGCUCCUGCAAACUCUGGAGCUGAGAUUUGAUCCAAAAAGUUGUAUCAUUAGGAGAAAAGUGUCUUUCCUGAAGUAGCUGCUCUUAAUCGUUUCCUGCUCACCAAAACUGUGACUCGGAAAGGCUGCCAUGGAAGUGAAUGCUAACCUGUCUAUCCUCUGCCAAGGAGGAGCAAGCUUUCCAUCGGCAUUCAGUUCUCAGAUCACCUUGGGUUCUUGAUUUCACUCAGUUUGAAGAUAAACUCCAGGCAGAGGGUCCUGUUCGUGCUCUGGUGACAAGGACAGCAAGGGGCACCCAGAGGACCAUCCCCCAAACAGCUCCUGCAUCUCCAGCCAAAAGCUGAGCCAGGGCUGUCCCACUCCCUGUGCCCCCCGACGCCUCCCGGAGCCGUUUCAUCACCCACGUGGUGUGUGACACCAAAAAAUAGGGAGGGAAGGAGCAUCCGUGUGGGAUGGACACUGACGGACACCCCAAACUAAACAGUCCUCAGCCGUGUUAUUGCUGGAAAUGCCAGCGGCACGAGCUGGCAAAACCACUUCUUGUAAUAAAGUGACUCAGAUUGAUCCUCAUAUGUAGCAAAGUAAAUUGGUUUAUCUCUUAGGAGUCAUUAAUAUGCGGGUUUUGUUUUGUUUGGGUGGAUGCAAUCAGGAAAUAGCCCUGACCCAGAAAUAUCCCACUUCAUCUGAUUUUUCAAAAUUAAUCUUCUUUUUAUUUCUAAUUAGCUCUUGGCACAGGAUUUUUUAUAGUGGGGUUUCAGCCAAAAGGAGAUUUAUAGAGUUGGGUUGUGAGUUUCUGACAUGGCAAGAAGAAAGUUCUGGAGUAGGGAAAUAAAGCCAAUUGCCCCAUGGCAUCCCAGGGACAUGGAACCUGUUGUCCCACGGCACCGCAGGGACAUGGGGCCAGUUGUCCCAUGCCAUGCAGCAGGCAGUGCCUGCAAACAGGUGGUGGCAGGACCUUGGUGGCAGUUUUUCAGCCUGUCCAAGUGGGAGAACACCUCAUUCCCUGCAGUCUGACAUGGUACAUGUGGAUUAUUCAGUGAACAGUGGAGCUUGAGGGGAGCAGGAUUCAGAACAGAAACUUUCCCGUAAGCUGCGGAGCUGCUUUAUUGUUAUUCCAAGUGAAAAGGAAGUCUGGCUUGUACCGGAGGAAAUAGCACCUCAAAUUUACUGCAGAGCUGCCACCAAUUCACUCGGUCUCGUCACCAGAAGGUGUUUCUGCCAGAUCAGCCAGAGCCGCAGAGCGGACGGGGGAGGAAAAUACCCCAUGGAAACCGUGGUGGGUGCAGGGAUGGGAGCGACCACCCCGCCGAGCCGCUGGCUGUGCCGCAGGAGCAGCACCCAGGGGUGCCCGUGUCACCGGGCCCGCUCUGGGACACACCAUGUGAUGGAGAGACGUGCGAGGGGCUUGGCAGGUGGCCUGGGGAGACAUUGCCAUUUAAACACCCCCGGGGGCCCGGGCAGGCUGAGCACCCGCCACAUCCCCAGCGCUUCCCAGUCUGCACACACAGACCCCAUCACUGCCCGGGCUGCAUCUCGGGCUCACGGCCCCUCUGUCCCCCGGUCCCUGCCGCGGUCACGGCUCCCGAGCCCCCGGCACAGCUCCGUGUCCUGCCAGGGCAGAGCUGUGUGAAUCGGCUGCUUGCUGGGUGAUGUCACCGGAAUCGCAGAGAGGAAAAGGCCAAAUAAGGCAGAAUUUUAGCGAAAAUAUGUCCUAAAAUGGGAGUUUAACUGAUGAUUAGCAAGCGCAAAACACAGAUAAGAUAUUACCAUGUUGAGAGCAUGGGAGCCCUGCGCAGACUCAGAUGCUGCAAAAAAGCCUCCAGGACCUGGAGAGAUGAGAGAAGAAGCAAAGCAGGCUAAUGCAGAGCGGUGCUCUGCACAGAGGCGGCUGUGUCAGGAGGUCGGCAUGUGAAGAGUCUCAGUGCUAAGACAGAUGGACAGAUCAAUGCAGGGAGGAUUUUUUUAUUCCCUGGGAAGAUAUUGGUUUUUUAAAGGGUUUCUUCAGUGUGCUUUUGGCUUUUCAACUGAAAGCAAUGAACCUCCUCUGGCAGAGAGAAGAAACGUUAUUUAAAGGUGCUGGAAGCAAAGCCACGUGGAGGGAGCUGAUGUGGGGUAAAGCACUGGGGAGGGGAGCACACAGCACCCUGCUGGAGCAGCACCCGUGGCUCUGGUGGCCUCAGGGGACCCGGAGGGACCCCUGUUUGUGGUGUUGGGGAGCGUGAGGAGGAGAGAUGGCAGAGAGCGGCCCCACUCGGGUGCUGUCCCCAAAGACCAUCUCUGAGGGUCCGGCCAGGCCGGGUGUCCCUGCUGCCACCCAGCAGGACCUUCCAGAGCUUGGCUCUCUUUAAAACACAGCAUUUCAACAUCAUCAAGUUUCUUUCCUCGUUCCCAUGCAGCAUUCAUAAUAAACAGAGUAGUGUGGUUAUUAAUAACGGUGAGGAGCCGUCCCCCGUGCUGGUGAGGAUGCCGAGCUCUGCGUCCCCCCCGGCACAGGCAAGAGCCGUCACCCAGGAAUGUUAUCGUUUCCUGCGGAAGACGUCCUGCUCAUUCAUCAGGCAUUGAAAAGUGUACUCAGGCCAAGAAUGUAUUUAUUUUUGACCUAAAUAUAGUUGAAGUCCUAUUAAAAGAACGCCAGGAAUGGCAGGACUCCCACCCCAAGGCUGUCACGGGGGAGGUGGCGCCCGGCGCUGGGGGUCGGUCCCUCGUCCCCACAGGUGCCUCCAUCCAGGGAUGCUGGUCCCGCCAUGGCUGGUGACGGUUCAGCACAGGAACAGAAGCCCUGCAGGUGGGUGCAGGAAGGGCUGGCGACCCACCAACCCCCUUUGCCAGGUCAGACAUCAGUGCCGCAGCAGGGAGGGAGAAGUUUAUCUCGUCCUUCAAGAACGACGGGGCAGGAGUGAAGUGGGGUUUGUGUUUGUUUCUGAACAGCCACUAGCAACUGCUGGGUCCAGCAGGAAUCUGGCCUGACGAUUAUUUAGGCUAUUUGGAUUGCUUCGAAAGCUUAUCCAAACUGUCUGGGCCCUCUCUGUUGGUGGCUCAGGAGAAAAACACCCCCCUGGCUUUCCUCCUUAUCCUGAUGAUAUCGUAGGGUCUCCUCAAAAAGCAAGGUCCCUCCAAUAGCUUGGGGGCCAGCCCCCAAAGAGGAGGGACCCUGCACACCACAGCAUCCUGGGCUGAGCAUCCUAGCACCCCCUUAUCACCCUGCACCCUGCAGCAUCCCUGCAUCCCCUUAUCCCCCUGCAUCCCCUUAUCCCCCUGCAUCCCCUUAUCACCCCCCAACAUACCAGGCUGAGCAUCCCUGCACAGUACAGCGAGCCACAGGAUCAGCUCCUCAGGGCAUUUUUCAGACUUACGCAGGUCAGGGACUUGUUUAACCCGAGUAAGGCCAGACUAAAACUGCAUUAGAUGCAUCUGCCGAAAACAAUCUGUCACUGCCAGGCAGGCAGCCUGCUUGAUUUAUGUGUCCUGCUGGCCUGCUGCACUUGCUUAUAGAAAAUGCAUAUACAGCUAUAUGUAAGCACACACACACUCUUAUAUGAGUAUGCAUACAUAUAUAUAGGGUGUUUCAAAAAGACAGACCUAAUUGGGACAAAUUCAACUGUUGUCUCAAUGUUGGCCAUACAGCAGGUGGAGGGAGCACAGAGCAUGUAUAAAAAGGUUACUAAAACUUGAUAACUCAUUCAACCCUUUGUAAAUUCUUGUGCAACUGUAAUAUGUCGUCAUUGUGGAACAUACUGCAAGUUGGGUCCAUCGUUUGGAAACAGCCUGUGUGUGUGGAUGUGGGAAGCUGAGAGUCUCCGCUGCGGGGGCUCGUCCAGUGGAUGCAGCAGAUGGGGGGGCUGCGGGUACCACCCGUGCAACCCCCCAAGGCCCCAAACAGCACAGGAACUAUAUAAAACAUGCUGGGGGAGGAGGCUGUUCGGUUGGGUGUUAAACAAGAGUGCUGGUGCCCUUCUGUUCACCUGCACAUUUCUGAACUUUUUAGGGUCUGUUUGCUUCAUCCCCUCAAGCUCUGUGCUGCAAACACAAGUGUUUGCACUUAAAUUAAAUUAGCCUUAAACCCAAAGCAUGCUGAGGUGCUCCUGUGAGCUUUUCUGAGAUAAAUGUUGCAAGAUUGGUGAUAAAAAAAGGACAAGUGUAGGAGGAGCCAUGGAGAGCUGGCUCCCGCAGGCACCUGAGCCAGCGCAACGUUCCGGAUGGGGCUCGGGAGCAGGGCACUCCUUCUUCUGCAGGGAAAAAAGGGACAAUCCUGUAUCAGAAACCUCUAAAAAUUUACACAUACAAGGCACUGUACUGGAAAACCAAGUCUGUUUUUAUAAAUACACAAAGGAAAAUUGAAGCCAGUUGCAGAAUGGUUUCUGGAGCAGGUUGGUACAUCACUUAGGAGGUCGGUGAGUCAUGUUUUCUUAAUCAAAGUCCCAAAUCGUGACCAAGGAGGCCAAGACCACCCAUGCCUGGGUUUGUGGUCCAGCCUCAUCCCCGCAGCCAAUGAGGGUGUCGAGGUUUUGAUUGCGGGGUGACAAUAAAACCAUGGUAGAUGUAUUGUUAACCCCUUAUCCCCUCCCUCUCCCUUCCCACCAAGGACGGGUGAUCAGGAGGGAAAGAACAACAGAGAGAAGAGAGAUGGAAAAAUUAAAAAUGUUUCGCUAAAGCUACCAAUAAAAAUAGAGAAAAUAAUACAAAAUAUACAAAACCAAUCUGGAAAGUCUCAGCAACUGCAGAGCUGACACCCGAAGUCCUGGACUGGAUUGUGCAGCCAACUGGAGCUGGAUUCAGUCUGUCACUGGGUCUCAGUUCGCAUGGACAACUCGCAAGGUCCUCUCCUUAUGUCGCCAUGGGGAAAAGGGACAAGAUCCUCGUGAUCUCCCACUUUUAUAUGAUGUAUCACGUGAAUGGGGUGGAAUACUCAGUUGGUCAGAUUUUGGUCACCUGUGUCUCGUUUCCCCUCUCACAAGAUGUCCAUCCAUCCUUAUCAAUGACCUUGCCUACCAUUGCUGUCUACCAAAACAUGUAUCUGGCUGUCAGGAAAAUGCAGCUGAUAUGAAGCUUUAGCUGACAGGCAAAUUCACUAAAAGAGAAACUUAUUUUUAACAAACCAGGACAGAGGGCAUCGUGCACAGCACCCACUGCAGAGCCUUUUCUUCUUAGGCAAUAAUCGUCAUCUUGGUACAACCACCCCUUGUUGGUGCUACUGCCUAUUUUAAAAUGAAAUCCUUUAGAGUUAGAUUGCAUAAUUGGAUAGGUUUGGAAAUAUAUCAUUAUAGAUUAUGUAGUAACUCAGUAAAGCUGACAAAUAUAAUAGGGAGCGAAAGGCGGCAGCCAUAAACUGCCAGGCUGGACUGAAAAUGUCUCUGCCAAUAUGCAUCACUUUAAUGAUAGAGCACGGCAACAAGAAUGGAAAACAUCCAUGGGGAAAAUAUUUACCUAAAAGCCUGAUCAGAUCCUGUAUCUCC